CCUACGGGGUGCAGCAGUGGGGAAUAUUGGACAAUGGGCGAAAGCCUGAUCCAGCCAUGCCGCGUGUGUGAAGAAGGCCUUCGGGUUGUAAAGCACUUUCAGUGGGGAAGAAAGCCUUGGGGCUAAUACCCUCGAGGAAGGACAUCACCCACAGAAGAAGCACCGGCUAACUCCGUGCCAGCAGCCGCGGUAAUACGGAGGGUGCGAGCGUUAAUCGGAAUUACUGGGCGUAAAGCGCGCGUAGGCGGUCUGAUAAGCCGGUUGUGAAAGCCCCGGGCUCAACCUGGGAACGGCAUCCGGAACUGUCAGGCUAGAGUGCAAGAGAGGAAGGUAGAAUUCCCGGUGUAGCGGUGAAAUGCGUAGAGAUCGGGAGGAAUACCAGUGGCGAAGGCGGCCUUCUGGACUGACACUGACGCUGAGGUGCGAAAGCGUGGGUAGCAAACAGGAUUAGAUACCCUAGUAGUC
rnacentral:rRNA from 1 species